AUACAUGAGCAAAAUCUCAACUUUAUUAGAAGAGACGCAUUUAUUAGAUAAAAAGCCAAUGCAUGCUUUUACAGUAUGAAAAUUGGUGAUUUAUAAUAACUUAGCAAAUCGCAUAGUGAAAACAGGCGAUAAAUCAUUCAAGUUUCUGACCUAUCAGCUUUCGACGGUAUGGUAUUGGCUUACCGUGGCAGUGACGGUUAACGGGGGAUUAGGGUUCGAUUCCGGAGAGGGAGCCUGAGAAACGGCUACCACAUCUAAGGAAGGCAGCAGGCGCGCAAAUUACCCAAUUCUAACAGUUUGAGAGAGGUAGUAACAAGAAAUAACAAUACAAGGCAGUUAAAAUGCUUUGUAAUUGGAAUGAUAGAAAUUUAAACCCUUUUUAAAGUAUCAAUUGGAGGGCAAGUCUGGUGCCAGCAGCCGCGGUAAUUCCAGCUCCAAUAGCGUAUAUUAAAAUUGUUGCAGUUAAAAAGCUCGUAGUUGAAGUUCUGCUAAAAGUAACCGGUCUGCUUUGAAUAAAAGUGGUAUCUUGGUAUGUAUUUAGCAAUGAUGUCCUUUGAAGUGUUUUUUACUUUAUUGUAAUAAAGCAUAUUCAGGACUUUUACUU
rnacentral:rRNA from 1 species